rnacentral:lncRNA from 1 species
CCCUUUAAUCAACCCAUAUAUUCCUUUAUUUAAGGCCUUCACCCUUUUCAUUCAAAAGGGGGGAGAUGGUUGGAGAGAGUUGGCGAAAAAAAUUGGAAAAUGGGGGUUAGAAAGGAGAAGAAUAGAAGCAAACACAGUUAUAUAAAUUUAUCAAAAAGUUGUUGAUUUCUAUUUUGUUUGCGGGGUUAUAGAUUUUCGAUAUCAAACUUCCCUUUUAAAAUUUCCCGUAUUCUUUUGUCGAAAGCUCUCAUCGGAAGUGUGGAAGUCUCUGUUUGGUUUGUUAUUGUCUCAGACACUGCUCAUCAAGAGGUAACUCUCAGUUAUUUUAUUCAUUCAGUUUCCAGUAGUCGUUUGGAUUUGAGUUGUGUUUUUAUGGGUUUCGAAAUACUUUUACUUGACAUGUUGUAGUCUAAGUGAUAUCUUUAGCCCUCACCUUAUUUCUCUCGAAAACUGAUAUUAUAUAUUUCGUUUUGAAGUAAUUGAAUGUCUGUUCGAAUUUGUUUUAUCCGUUCUUAAUUUCCUCAAGCGCGUGACUGCAGUGCUUGCCUCAAUAGUUAGUUUGUUUCACUUGUGAAUUAUCGGAACGCUUUUCUGUCUCUAUUCGUGGAAAUGAUAUUCAUGUUUGUUGUACGUGUAAAAAGAAUCACUCCAUUGAUUCGGUUUGGCACUUAUUUUUCGAGUUUAAGUUAGUCAGUUCUCUUUCUUAUAGGUCGGUGUAGGUUAGUGUUGAUUUGUUCGAGUCAACCUCGUUAUCUUAGCCACUCUUGUGGUGCCUGCUUAGUUCCACACUUAAUCUUGUGAUAAAUUUAUUAAAGGCUUGUUAAUUUGCAUUUCACAUGCCUAUGACUCUCAAAUUUGACGUUUGAUUGCUAUUCACUUAAGUUAUGUGCAAAUAGUCUUGGUCAUUGUGUGUUUAAAUGCAUUAAGUCUUGCCUUAGCGUUCUCUCAAAGUGGUUCAUGCGUGCUGGAAAUUUUUGUGUUUUGGUUACUUUAGUAGCUUAAUGUUUUGAUUUCAUUCUCUUUAGCUCCUUUACUAUUUACUCAUAGAAAGGUUAAAAAAAAGAAUUUGAAUUUGUCUGCAAGAAUAAAUAAAUAUAAUUUUUAGUCCGCAUUGUGAUUCUUUGGAUGGUGUUCAAAGCAUCUGUAUGUAUGUUAUACUUGGGAGUUUGAUUUCCUCUUCUUCUAUUCCCUUCACUGCUUAUCAUAAACUCCCCUUUAAAUUAUUGUUCAAGUGUUAUUUUAUUAAGGGAUAAUGCACAAGUAUCCCUUCAACUUAUGUCUGAAAUUUCAGAAACACAUUUAUACUAUACUAAUGCUUUAUUACACCCCUUAAAUUAUUUUAUUAAUAACUUUUUAUCCCUUUUUGGCCGACGUGGCACUAUCUUGUGGGUCUAGCGUUAGUUGACUUCUUUUUUCAAGCUAGUGUCACGUAGGCCGAAAAGGGGUAGAAAAUUACUUAUAAAAUAAGUCUAGAGGGGUAAUAGGACCUUCGAAUAGUAUAAGUGUGUCUUUGAAAUUUCGCAUAUAGGUUGAGGGGGUACUUGUGCAUUUUCCCUUUUAUUAAUAAUGUCUGGUAGAUGUUAAGUAUUUUUCAUCACUUUAUUUCCUUCCAUAGAUGUCAUCUUUUUACUUUAUGUUAUGGAUGUGAAACUCCAUCAGAAUCCCCUUGAACUCCCCUCCUUGCAUAUAGUUGAAUUGAACCACCAUCGAGUCAGCUAUCGGGGUAAAUUGGAGAUUAGGUGUACAGGUGGAAAAUUGAUAAAUCCGUACAAAAAAUAAGUCUCCUGUGCUGGAAAUGUGAAAACAAGCUGAAAAUAUGGCUUGUAUACAGACAUAUACAGUGAUAUACGUUGUGAAAUAGCAAUAUACAGGCUCAAAAGGGCGUGAAAAUGCAUCAUACAAAAUUACAUGACAUAAGGUUCAAAAAAAUGUAGGCUGAAAAGGUUCAAAAAUGGGUUCGAAAUGUCUUGUAUACCAGCGUAUACGUAUUGUGUAUAUGGAGAUUUCUUUGAAGGAAAUAGGCCCAAAGGCCCUGAAAAUUGCAGCACUAGAAUUUGGGCCUAGGGCCCAAAUUUGAUAUUUCCUCCCUUUCUUAUUUAUUUAUUAUGAUUUUGGACCAACAUAUUAUUUGAGUUUUGGUUUUAAUUCAAUUAUAUCCCUAAGAUAGCCAUUUCUCUUUAAUAUUAAACAAAAAUACAAAUAAUUAUUUUAUAAAUGUUUAUUACUUAGAUUUUAUUUUAAUAUUGAUUUUGUUAAAACAUAUGAAUUAUUUUCACUUUUAAGUAAUUUCUCUAUUUUAUUUUCCCCUUGAUAAUAUAAUAAUUAAAUUGAGUAAACGAAAAAAAAUUCUUUUUACUUUAGUUAAAAACUUGAAAAGUUGUUUGAAAGUCAUUUUUAGUCAAAUCGCCGGUCAACCGCAAGUUAGCGGGCAAUCCGAGGGCCUAACAUCUUCUCGGAAUGUACAUUUGAACUUCGAACCCUUUUCAAUUGAUUUUUCUCUGUUUUAAAUCUUUUAAAAAAUAAUUUUAAGUUUUUCUUGAUUUAUAUUAAAAGUCAAGUGGCGACUCUAUUAUUUUGGAAAGUCGAUUUUUCUUAAUCAUAAAUUAAUUUUUUUUGAAACUUUGUCAUUUUACUUUACUUAUAUAUAUUUUUCGUAAAACAAGAUGUCUAUGUAAACCUCAGUGUAGAAGUAAUUAAAAAGUUUUAAAUUAUCCGCAAUUUAACCUAUGAAAUGUAAUGACAAAUGCUAAGAUGUUAGUUUUAUUCCUCUUCGAGGAUGACGACACCGAUUACUUCUAGGGGGUGCUCCCCGGAUGUGACAGGUUUGAUGGACCGGAGGAAAAUUCUGGAAAAUGUUGACGCUUGGAUUUUGAGAAGUCGGUGACGUUUGGUGUGAGGAGCUAGCAUGAUGCGAGUUAGGAUUGGUCAAGUCAAUGGUGUAAGGUUAGGAAUUAUAGUUGUUGUUGAAUUAUUUGAAAAAUGUUAUAUUGGAUCCAAAGUAGGAAAAUGGAGUGGUGGUCUUCCGUUGUCUGGAAUAAGAGUGUUAGCAAUGAUACCUAGAAUUGUCAAAUCUCGAUUCUUAUUCAGUUCAUCCCUCAUUUCAGCAAUCUGUCAGAUUAAUUGUGCUAUCAACUUGUUUUUGUUCGUCAAUGAUAGGGUCAUUCACAGUAAUUUCAUUCAGAUCAGUAUUCACAACAUUUUCAACCACUUUUUCUUUGUCUUUUGACAAACAUUGAUCGGAGAAGGGAUCUUUGCAUCUUUGGACCUCGUGAUGUAUGGAUGUUCAGUCAUUUUCUCAACAAAUAUCAAUUUUGAGUACGUGACAAAGAAAAAUAACUCAAAGUCAAAUGUGUUAGUCUGCGUCGAUGAUAAUUAAUACAAAAUAUCACCCACAGUACUGUAAACACAUAGGGUUGCUUCAUUUGAACAUAAACUUGCCCACAUAUAUAGAGAAAUGACUAAAUAGAUGGAAAUUUGUCCAUUUGAUUUUUAACUUUGUGAAUUAGAAAUGUCGACUUGAGUCGAGACAAAGUCGAUUGAAUAUUUCAUUGUCGUACUUUCUUUUUUUGACAAGAUGUAACUCUAUUUUUUUUGUAAGAGUUGAAAAAGAUAAAAUUUCUCAAAAAUGGGGAUUGAACCUUGAAAGGUUGUCUAUGUAUUUCACAUAGUUCGACCCAUUCGAAUCUCUUUCGAUUUGAGAUAAAGGGUUAACCUUUUCUCUGAGAUGGGAGAGUAAGGAUUGAAAGCGAUGUUUGAACUUUGUUGGAAAACUAAAGACUCGAAUAAUAUUUGGACGCACUUUUGAUUGUGACUUGACAUUUGUGCAUAGGGGUUCUAAAAAAAAUCUCAAAUAAGAGUGAGCUGGAAUGUCUCCAAAUAAAGCAACAUAUUCACAUAAGCAGUUUUAACACAAAUAAAUAUUGCCCGUUUUAAUAGAUAUAUGACCCUUUUGUGCAAGGGUAGGUCUAACGAUUUGAAGGAUAUAUAAGUCAUUUGAAAUAUUUCAUUGCCCCAAGACUCAAAUUUAUACAAAUUUUAUGAAUAAAAUUAAAUAGAAACACAUAAUAGGAAAACGGGAUAAAAAAUAAUCAGUCUCAUGCAAGAGUACGACCGUAAACUAUGCCUCCACGAAAGAUCCUUCUUUUUUUUCUUUUUUUUUUUCGUUCGCUCCGGGUGCAUAGGUCUUUGGAUGGCCUAGUAGCUUGUUAAGUUCUUUCUUCAACCUAAAUAAACUAUAUUCUAAUCAUUAUUCCACGAGACAAUGAUUUUCAAACAAUGUAUACAUCUUUCAAAUUUAAACACAUAAAUAUGAACAUUCGUUUAGGUCGUGGGCCGUUCUAGACUCAAGGUGAUCGCUCUAUUGGACCCAGCGCCCUUUGAGUGUUGGGUCAUUUUAGGCUAAUGCGCUAACUUUUGGGGAUUUGGCUUUGCUCUUUCCUAGUUUGACUAAGUGUGGGUUUUGUUUAUAGUGGAUAGGUGACCCAAGCGGACUACUUAGGCUGAGAGAGCUAACGGCCAUUGACUAUUAAGUAGUCAACUACACCCGUCAGGGUGCCCCGAGAACAAUUUUGUUAAUGAACGACUAAAAAACCGCAUAAUUGUCCUUUAAGUGAUAAGCAAAAUAAUUAUUGUUUGACGAAAUAUGUCAUGCCAUGAAUGCAAUAUUUAUCAAUAUAAACAUAUUAAACACAAAUAACUAUUUUAGCAAAUAACACUUAAUCAAACAAUCAAAUAUCAUGGUUAGAACUUAAUAAUUCCUCAGUAGUGUCACUAUUUCUGUUUUACUCGAAAAUAAUAAAAAGAAAAGACUAAGUUUUUGAAAAAUUGACUAAACUUAUGAUUUAAGAGAAAUUAAAUUUUCAAAUAAAUAGAGUCGUCACUUAAUUUUUUAAAUAAAAAUACAAGAAAAACCUAUGAUUUUCAAAAAGAUUUAUACAGAUAAAAUAUCAAUUUAAAAAGUGGAUUCGAAGUUCAAUGUAUAUUUCGAGAAGGUGUUAAGACUCUCAAAAUGUCUGCGAACUUGCGAUUGACCGGCGAUUUGAUUAAAACUUUGACUAAUUUAAAACAUUUAACCAAGUAAAACAAACUAAUUUUUUAUUUUUUAUUUUUAAGGGAAACAACUGAAGGGAAAUCUUCUAAGGACAAUGAUUCAAGUUGCAAGACAAACAAUAAAAUAAAAUAAAACUAAGUAACAAAAUAAAAAAUAUAAAUAUUUUAAUUUUGAACAUAAAAUUGAGAAAUGACUUUCUUUUGGGGAAUUCAAUCAAAUAAAAAUCACUUCAAAGAAAUCUUAGUUAGACAAAGAAAUAAUCAAAUACAAUAAAAGAUAAGAGGAUAUUAUAAACUUGGGUCUUCCCUCAAAUUUCAAAUUGAUGGGCUGGCAGACCCAACUUCUUUCAACCCGUCCUAAAAUAAAUUCAUGGGUUUCAAACCCCAUUUAAAAUCAGAUUGGGCCUGCUCUUGGAAUUAAAACAAAUAAGUAGAAUUAGGUCGUGGCCCAAAUUUUGUGCCAAAAUAAGCUACGUAUACAUAGUUGUAUACUAUAACACCCCGUAUUCAAAAAUAGACCGAACUUCAGUUUUUUGGAAAUUGUAGGUGUAAUCUACUAUCACCAUCUUACGGGUAGUCUGAUCUACGGCCCGUAUUGUGGGUCUGUGGUCCACCAUUGUAGCCCUUCCUAAAAGCUCAGCUCAAAAAAUUGAUCUAGUCUCGACCCACGGACAUAUAUACGGUCCGUAAGUCAGACCACGAUCCGUGGAUUAACACCCUAUUCCCCAGCCCCUGACAUGAACCACGAUUGACUAGUACGGUCCGUACAUGAAUUUCAGAACCCUAGCUAUGUAUUUCUUUUUGUUCUUGAAUUACACAUGCUAGGUCAGAUAUUUUAGUUACUUUAGAUAUACUUGCCUCAGUUAUUUAUCCAUUAUUAUCAGAUUAAUUGUUGCAUUCUAUGUUUGCAUAUUCAGUUUGAGCUAUGCACUAUUUAUAGAAACAUAGUCAUAAUAGUGAACCACUAAAUUCAUUGGGAGUAGACUAAUACUGAGUUGGAGUUGGGUUUAGCGUACCCAAAUAGUCCGAGAACUACUAGUCAAAUAGGAGCUAAGUCCCCUCUAUGGACAUCAGUUUAGUGAUCACGCCAACAUGCCUUUAUACCUUUGAAAGAGUAUAUUGGGUCCUCUCGAUGGGAUGCAUACAUCAAACUCCACAUUUAGCUCAUGUGAUUUUAUUAUCGGUUAUUAGUAGUUCUCACAGUUCAGUGAGAUUCCAUUGCAUUGAUCAUUUAUCACUAUAUCUAGUAUACAGUUCCAGCGCGUCAUAAAUUGGUUACUAUAUUCAAUUAUCUCAGCAUUUAGUAUAUCAUUUAAGAUUAUAUCGUUGCUUUAUUUCUUGUUUAGUUAUAUUUUAUUUCAGCUUUACGAUAUCCUACAUGUUGAAUACCUUCCAAGUAAUGAAGCAUACGUGCGCAACAUUUUCUCGUGACAUAAGUUCAAGUUCUAAUCAUCUAGAUCACGCUUAGAUUGAUUCUCGAUCUCCAGUUCAGCAGAAUCAUUG